ACUGGGAUAACUUCGGGAAACCGGAGCUAAUACCGGAUACGUUCUUUUCUCGCAUGAGAGAAGAUGGAAAGACGGUUUACGCUGUCACUUAUAGAUGGGCCCGCGGCGCAUUAGCUAGUUGGUGAGGUAAUGGCUCACCAAGGCGACGAUGCGUAGCCGACCUGAGAGGGUGAUCGGCCACACUGGGACUGAGACACGGCCCAGACUCCUACGGGAGGCAGCAGUAGGGAAUCUUCCGCAAUGGACGAAAGUCUGACGGAGCAACGCCGCGUGAACGAAGAAGGCCUUCGGGUCGUAAAGUUCUGUUGUUAGGGAAGAACAAGUACCAGAGUAACUGCUGGUACCUUGACGGUACCUAACCAGAAAGCCACGGCUAACUACGUGCCAGCAGCCGCGGUAAUACGUAGGUGGCAAGCGUUGUCCGGAAUUAUUGGGCGUAAAGCGCGCGCAGGUGGUUCCUUAAGUCUGAUGUGAAAGCCCACGGCUCAACCGUGGAGGGUCAUUGGAAACUGGGGAACUUGAGUGCAGAAGAGGAAAGUGGAAUUCCAAGUGUAGCGGUGAAAUGCGUAGAGAUUUGGAGGAACACCAGUGGCGAAGGCG
rnacentral:rRNA from 2 species